rnacentral:misc_RNA from 1 species
GGGAAAUGUUCCCACGACGUGGAGAGAACAGAAAAGUCUCUCUCUGUCUCUCUCCGUCCCGUUGACUUGAUGAAGAGCGUUAUCUUAUUUAAAUUCUGUCUUGCUCGCAUUAUCACUUUUUCUUUGUAAGCCAGCAGCAACCGAAAGCCGAAAACCAAACAAAACAAGCAAGAAGUUGUCCUUACUUCACAAUUCCCACGAAUUCAAUUCCCCGGCCUACAAUUUUCCUCGCUUUCUCUCUAAUUUCUCUGUCAAUGUUUUGAUUUGAUCCGAAUCUCAGUUUUGUCUAAUCUUCUUAAUUCUCACAUCGCUGCUCUGUCUUUCUCUCUGUUUCUGUAGAUUGCAGAGCUAGCCAGACCACGGGGAAAAACGCUAAUCUAAUUCGAACAUGUCGAAAUCCCUCCCUUGUUCCUUGAAAGAUGUGCUCCAUGAAAUAUGUGCACUAUGAUAACGCCAAGUUCCGCCAACGCUCUUUCGUCAAGGUGAUCUCUCAGUCCUUGAUUACCAGUAAUAUAAAGCGUGAAUGUAUAAGUUGUUCUACUGGGAAGUUUCUAAUGUUAUUGAUGAUCUUUGGUUUAGCAUAUCUUAUGCUGACUCAUACAAGCAGUUCCCAUUCUUUUUCUGGUGGACUAGCUAAAGGAACAAAUCUCAGUGAGGAAAGUAUGAAGUAUGGAAGUACCAAACUUGGAAGAUUUUGGAGGAAACCACCAAGGCUUCCUCCUUGAUUAUCACCUGAUGAAAAGGGUACUAAUAAUAAACCUAUUCAUGAGUUAGGGAGGCUAAAUACUGAUCCAAUAUGGUUAGAAAGGCAACAAAAAGUAAAGGAAGCUUUCAUCCAUGCUUGGUCUGGCUACAAAAAGUAUGCAAUGGGAUAUGAUGAACUUGUGCCAUUGAGCCAGAGGGGAGUUGAUGGGUUAGGAGGUCUAGGCGCUACUUCCAUGGAUGCUCUUGAUACAGCCAUGAUUAUGGGUGCUAAUGAAGUUGUUUCUGAAGCAGGCUCAUGGAUUGAAACACACCUUUCUAAUAGGAUUGCCGAGAAAGGCCAAGUUAAUUUAUUUGAUACUGCCAUUCGUGUCUUAGGUGGUCUUUUAAGUGCAUAUCAUUUAAGUGGAGGGGAACAAGGGACUAAAUCUAUGCAUGAGGGGCCAAAACCAAUCUUUUAUCUAGAAACUGCUAGAAACUUGGCUGAUUGUCUGCUAGUGGCUUUUACAUCCAGUCCAACUCCUAUUCCCUUCAGUGAUGUUGUUCUACAUGAUUCCGCAAAGCAUUGUGCACCUGAUGGUUUAGCAGUACUUCAGAAGUUUCAACUUUUCAGCUGGAGUGGAGUUCAAUUAUCUCAGUACCAUUUCUGGUGAUCCCUAGUACAGCAUGGAAGCUAUGAAAGUUUUGGCACAUAUGAAGAAUCUACCUAAGGUAGAAGGGCUAGUUCCUAUCUACAUAAGCCCUGACUCUGGUGAAUUUAGUGGCGAAAAUAUUAGACUGGGAUCUCGUGGUGACAGCUACUAUGAGUACCUAAUUAAAGUAUGGCUUCAGCAGGGAAGCAGUAGAGAUGCAAAUUUUACAUAUCUGCAUGACAUGUAUGAGGAGGCAAUGCAGGGUGUUAGGCACCUACUUGUUCAGACAUCAAUCCCAAAUGGAUUGGUUUUUGUGGGGGAAUUGCCUUAUGUUCCAAAGGGUGCUUUCAGUCCCAAAAUGGAUCCCCUGGUGUGCUUUUUACCUGGUACUCUUGCUCUUGGUGCCACUAAGGGCAUCACAAAGGAAAAGGCAAUGAAAGACAAAACAGUACUCUUGCUCUUGGUGCCACUAAGGGCAUCACAAAGGAAAAGGCAAUGAAAGACAAAACA